rnacentral:rRNA from 1 species
AGUGAACGCUGGCGGUAGGCCUAACACAUGCAAGUCGAACGGCAGCACAGUAAGAGCUUGCUCUUACGGGUGGCGAGUGGCGGACGGGUGAGGAAUACAUCGGAAUCUACUUUUUCGUGGGGGAUAACGUAGGGAAACUUACGCUAAUACCGCAUACGACCUACGGGUGAAAGCAGGGGAUCUUCGGACCUUGCGCGAUUGAAUGAGCCGAUGUCGGAUUAGCUAGUUGGCGGGGUAAAGGCCCACCAAGGCGACGAUCCGUAGCUGGUCUGAGAGGAUGAUCAGCCACACUGGAACUGAGACACGGUCCAGACUCCUACGGGAGGCAGCAGUGGGGAAUAUUGGACAAUGGGCGAAAGCCUGAUCCAGCAAUACCGCGUGGGUGAAGAAGGCCUUCGGGUUGUAAAGCCCUUUUGUUGGGAAAGAAAAGCAGCAGGUUAAUACCCCGCUGUUCUGACGGUACCCAAAGAAUAAGCACCGGCUAACUUCGU